GUAGGUGAACCUGCGGAAGGAUCAUUAAAGAGCAAGGGUCUUCUAGGCCCGACCUCCCAACCCUUUGUUUAUUAUACCUAUGUUGCUUCGGCGGACCCGUCCUUUUGGGCCGCCGGAGGAUUCGCCGCGAGGCGUCCUCUGGCCCGUGCCCGCCGAUGGCCAACCAUUAAAACUCUGAACAAAUCGUGUAUUAUGUCUAAGUCAAAACGUUAAAUUAAAGCAAAACUUUCAACAACGGAUCUCUUGGUUC
rnacentral:misc_RNA from 1 species